AGAGAGAGAGAGAGAGAGAGAGAGAGAGAGAGAGAGAGAGAGAGAGAGCACCAGCCAGACCACUGCAAUUAACAGAGACUAAGGAGCUGUAGCUGUGUAGCGGAGCACCGUGGCAACGCAGACACUGAUAGUCAUCAUGUUACCGUGACACAACAGAUGCUGCUCUCUAGAGGACAGGGAGGAGACUGGGAGGGGCACUAGGGGUCAACAAAGGGUCAAGGAAAAACUGCUGCCUGGUGUUGACAUGUGGUCAGGUGGUCAGGUGGUCAGGUGGUCAGGUAGACAGGUGGUCAGGUGGUCAGGUGGUCAGGUAGACAGGUGGUCAGGUGGUCAGGUGGACAGGUGGACAGGUGGUCAGGUGGUCAGGUGGACAGGUGGUCAGGUGGUCAGGUGGUCAGGUGGUCAGGUGGUCAGGUGGUCAGGUGGUCAGGUGGUCAGGUGGUCAGGUGGUCAGGUGGUCAGGUGGACAGGUGGUCAGGUGGACAGGUGGUCAGGUAGACAGGUGGUCAGGUGGUCAGGUGGACAGGUGGACAGGUGGACAGGUGGUCAGGUGGUCAGGUGGACAGGUGGACAGGUGGUCAGGUGGUCAGGUGGACAGGUGGACAGGUGGUCAGGUGGACAGGUGGACAGGUGGACAGGUGGACAGGUGGACAGGUGGUCAGGUGGUCAGGUGGUCAGUGGAAACUGUUUGGCCGGAGAGCGAGGUGCUGGGAGUGUUUCUGUGUCUCUGGGAUGACAGGCACCUUCCAUUCCGUCUGUCAAAG